GAUAAGACUUAGUGCAUCAAGAUCAUCAUCAUUUUACAAAUAAAUCAUAAGGCACUGUUUAGAUUUUUUGACAUUUUGAGUUGUAUAGGCUAGAAAAAUUGUGGUUGGAUCAGUCUUUUGCCCAUGUACUUGUGCACAGGGAGCUGAAGCUCUGCAAAAUGACACUAAUUAGCUGAAGGCUGUUAAGGAGAAAGAGGUCCCCAUCGACCAUGGUACAGCACCCUGAGCACUGCCAAGACCCAGCACACUCCUGGAUUUUAAGGCUCUGGGUCCAAGAGCAGCUGUGUGGUGAUCUGAAGGCUGGUAAGACAAGCACAAGGACUUGUACAAGCAUCAAGGCUCCUUGUCUGACAGAAGAAUGAAGAAAUAUGUCAGUAUUGCUGAGUCCUCUUCUAUGAAUCACUUAAGUUACUGAGAAGAGGAACAGCUGGAGGCCAAAGAUUUCCUCAGACAUCAUUUGGAGUCAUGCACAGUGGGGAAAACCUGACCCCAUUUAAAUCUGGUUGUCUCAUGGGCUGUAUUGCCUGAGCCCAGGAAGAACACUAAGGCAUAUUAUCACUUCACUGAAAACAGGAGAAACAGCUCUGUUUGAAGAAUAUGACAGAUACGGCUGUGGUGCUACCAGAGUUCACUCCAUUAACUUUUUGAGUAAGAUCUUUUAAUUAUUGUAUUCUAUUCAACUGAAAUAUCACAUUCAGCAAUGUCACAACGUAAUAACUACCAAAGCAAUGAAAUGCAUCUGUAAAACUUCAGGGCCUGAUCCUUGACCUCUUUAAUGUGCAGUGACACUUUCUGUCCUUACAGAUGGCUCCAAUACUCUUCAAAAACAUCACAGUGGGUUGGGUUUUUUUUCCCUAAUGAAACUUUCCUCUUACGCUGAGGAAGUCAAAGCUAUAACCCAAAACUUGUUUGGCAAGCCGUAGAAAAAUGAGGUUUGAACUACAGACAGAAUAAAUAGAACAAAACUAAAAUGACAGACAAUCUGUUUCAGUGGAUUUCCCAUGCUAUUUGUUUAUUUUUUUUCAAGUUAUGUGCUCUUGAUGGUUUAAAUAUUCAUGGAAGUGGAGCACUUAUAGCUGAGACCUAAUUCAAAUUUACUGUGUAAUGCAGAAGGCUUGAGAUCUGUCUCUGUGGUGAUGUUUGACAAUGUAUAACAGGUCAUUUAUGUAGCUAACUUCAGAUCUGGGGUUAAAUGGAAUUGCUCAUUUUGCUUUUUUGUAUUGUCACUUGGAAGAUUCUUCUCCUUGGCUUGGAUUUCCCAAAAAAGUACAGAAGGAUGUCCCAAACUCUUUUUCUUCUCUUAGGCUAUGCCAUCGUUUCCUUCCUAAUCUAAGCAUUAAAUAAGGGCUAAUUUGAAUGAGGUGGAAUUUUUAUAUUUUUUUAAUGCACUUUUUUAUUCAUUUUAUAUGUGACCAUGAGCCAACACACCUGAGCUGCAGUUUUACCCUGGUGAUGCUGAAACAGAAACUCAAGGUCUGUUAAUGCAACAAACAUAUUUGAAGCAGAACUGAGCUCAAUUUGGCAGAAAAACAAGAUCAAUGAUAUUUCACAGUUUAGGAAGUUUGUGAGACUUUAAUUUUUUUACUUGCUUGAAUUUUUAGAAAUGCUGACCUCAAAAUCCACUUCCUAAAAGAUGAUUCUCUUUCAAUUACAUCCCUUGGCAUUUUGGAAAUGCAGAUGAGUUUGUGUAAAUGAACACAUGCUAAUGUCAUGUGGGAGAAAAGGCUAUUUCCCCUCCCCCCCCUUAUAACCAAUACGGAAUUUCUGAACCAUUAUUUUAUUUUUCCUGAUGCUUUCAUUUUUUUAAUAAUGUAAAUAUAGGUCUCACCUAAAAGAAGGUGAAUGACGGUAUCAAAACUACACUAAGACUAAAAAGUGAGACUGAGAUAAGAAUUCAGAUUUCUUUACUUCAGAUUUUUUAAUCCCUUAGUCUGUUUUGCUUGCUUCUGUUAUAGCUUAUUGACACAGAUUUCUCUUUAAUCACAGCUCUUCAGACAGCAUCCUGUUCCUAAAAUUUAUUUCAACCAUUCACCCUGGACAACAGCUGAGCUGCUGCAACACCUUUAUAGAGCAUAUCUUUUGAAUCUCCUCAUUCAACUUAUUUCUGAAUUAUUACCUUUUUCCUCUCUGGGAAGAUAUGGUGGUCUGCAGAGAAAGCAGGGUUCCAGGGCAUAAAAGGAGUUGUCUUCUUUGUAGCUCUGCUAUUUGUAUAGUAUAGUAUGUCCCUGUAUUCAGGGCUCAUUGCUCUUUCCUGCUAUUUUCAUACCAUGACAGUAAAAAUUAAUGUUUCCUCUCUCAUUUUUUCUCUCUUUCAUUUCCUUCCUUCCUUCCUCCCUCCC